UUGGCCCGCCAACAGAAAAGGCCGGGGCCCCACGUGGGGCCCCGGCCUUUUCUAUUAGCGCCAAAA
rnacentral:pre_miRNA from 1 species